CUGCCAUUAAAGAUAAAGUAAGCACAUUUUACUUAUUGCAUACGAAUUGUUCACUAAAUGCUAACUCAGAUAUUUUCAAUUCAGCAUAUAUAUUUAAAUACAUUUUUAAAAAGAUUUCACUGAGUUAUUACAGAGAAAAUAUUUGCUGCGCUCACAGUUGGCAUUCCUUGAUCAUUUUUUUCCCCUAGGAUAGUUUGUCAGUUGACUUGCUCAUGUGUUCAGUUUUGCUCACUUACUUGAACAUUUACACUAAGGAUUCUUGGUAAUUUUCUGAUUUUCAUGUGUCAAAAGAAAAUUUUUACAACCUAAGUUCAAUUGUCAGCAUUGUGGAUUCUUCCAUAAAAAAGGCUCUCUUGUUGGAGGCCAAAGCGAGUUACCGAGCAAAACUCUGGGCUUCAUAAUGAAGUCACAUGAAAACCAGAUCCAUCGUUGCCCCUCUGCCUGAGACUGUGGCCCAGGUGUGGUUCAUGAAGACAUGAACAAAUGGAUUCAGUUUAAAGACCUAUGAAAAUUAAAUGGCUUGAUUUUGAUAUGGAUAAAAUAGAUUUGGGGUAAAUUUAUUUGGUACCAAAUCCAUACACUAUUCUAAGCAGUUGGUUAUUCACUCUUUAGUAGUGAUCUUGAAAAUAAAUUUUACGAGUUUCUAUGUCUGCAUGUGUGUGUAUGUAUGUGUAUAUUCCCAACUGUGAUUUUAACUGUAUUUGUUAUGACCUACAACCAUUUCCCACAGUACCUCUUUCCUUUGCUUAUUUGCUAUUUUUUAUUUACUUAUCUUCUGCAGCCAUUUUUGUUCAAAUGUCUUUCUGAAGUGCAAGGACAAAGAUUAACACAUUGCCUUUUGUUUUCUUUCUAAGCUUACAGAAGUAUACAAAGAAAUUCAAGGUUUUGAGUCAGUGGAGGUUACCCAAUUUCGGUAAGUAGCACAAUGUCCUUAGAAGGGCAUCUCCAGAGCUGUGUACCAGUCCUGCUGAAUGACAUGUGCUAUUCCCAGGUGACCUUGAUAGAAAACAGGGCAGAGCUAGUCUUCCUACUAGGGUUCUUACUCUGAUGCUUUCAAAGUUCUGAAGAGGAAAGUCUAGAUUCUCCUUUAAGUGAAUUUAGAAACUUCAACAUUGAAGAACAUUUUCAAAACUGUGGUUCAGGAGUAGAGCUAUAAAAACACACCUUGGAAGGAAACAGGAGCAUGCAUGUCCAGGAAGGGGCGAGGGUGGGGAGGAGGGGUGAGGGUUGUAGAGGGAUGGAUUUUUUCCUCCCACAGCCACAAGGGACAUGAUGCUGUAUGAUUCAGAGCCACAGGGCAGGGACGGGGGGGACUUGGGUGAAAUAUUAUCUUUUUGUGUAGAUGUCACAAUAUAUCACAAUUCAGAAUCCAGUAGUCAUUGUCUAUAGCAAAUAAAAAGAUAUUUAGUAAAUUAUCCUUUUGUUUAUGCUUUAACUCCAAAAGUUAUUUGCUUAGUUAACCAUGUGUACAUUGAUUGCCAACUAUUAAUAGUGUGCUUAAUAGAGGAAAUAGCUUAGAGGUCAGAGAACUUGACUCAUUAUUAAUUUUUUUUAACAAUUAACUUUUUUAAAAAACCAUUGGGAAUUUUCAACAGCAUUUGCUAUAAAUUUAUUAUCUUGGGCAUUCCCCUUUAAGUCAUCCUGUGUCUCAUGUAAAUAAUUUCCUUUAAAUUUAGUACCAGGAAAAACACUCCUUUCUUUUUUCAAAUGUUGAGUCUGUAUCAUUGAUCAUAUUUUCCUUUUGACUUUCCUGUUAUCCAACUUAUAGCCAAAAUUGAAACUCAAUCACAAUGAGUUUUGUAUUCUAUAUUAUAGUUUUUCCCCAUCUUGGUCCUGAUUUUCUACCUACAUUUCUAAUUUACAUUUCAUCAUGUGUGUCUUAUAAACUGUCCCCAGUAAUUUGUAGACACAAUCACAGUCAAAGGAGGCAUAAGCUUAUAAAUAUUAGGAUUGACUCUUAAUGUACAUGAUUUGAAAAUCAAUCUUUCUCUCACUCUCUCACUUAUCUCUCACUCUCUCACUUACUUAUCUGUCAAACAGGACAGUUAGUACCAUGAAACCUGUUUUAGUUCAUUAAAUCAAAUGAAAUCAUAGGCAGGAAAAUGCUUCGUAAGUAACAUAGAAGGGUGGUAAAAUGCAAAGGCACUGUGACCACUGCUACACAAAAGGACAUUUGUGUUUAUUGUGAAUCGAGCAGAAGUUUGACCUAGUAAUUAAGAAUUUGAGCUUUGGAGCAUCACGAUUUUUAACCUAUUAAUUAAUAAAUAAUGAUUACCUGGCCCAUCUUCUCUUUGGGCCUCAUUUAUCUUUAAAAUGUGGGUAACACAGUGAACCCUAAUUGCAGGGUCACCUGAUUAACACAUGUGAGCUGAUUUAUAUUUGAUACCUUAAAACACAUCUAUAUGCUGGUAGUUUCUUUGCUACUUGAGCUUGGUCCCCACCCUAAAGUCCAUUUUCAAAUAUCCAGCUGCCAACUUGACAUCUCCUCUUGGUUUUCCAGUGGGCAUGUCAAACACAACACACCUUCACUAGGCGCCCCCACAACUGUCCUGCUCCUGGCCACAGCCCACCUCACCAUCUUCCACAUCUCAGAUACAAUAAUGCUGUCCUUCCAGCUGCACAAACUUACACCUUGGAGCCAUCUUUUGUUUUGAUUUUCUUUUGAGAUGUGAUUUGCAUACAGCAGUGUGUUUAAAUCUUAAGUACACUUCAAUCAUCUUUGACAGAUAUUUGUAUAAGCCCUUCCUAUGAAGACAGAGUAUUUCUAUCAACUAGAAAGUUCCCUCAUGUUCCUUUCUAGUCAAUUUCCACCCCUACCUCCCACACUCUCUACCACUGGUCUGAUUUCUUCUAGGUUAGUUUUGCCUCCUCUACAAUCAUCACCCCACCUGUGGAUUUUUGUAUAUCUGGCUUCUUUCACUCGCAAAAUGUUUGAGAUUCAUCCUUAUUUUCUGACUAUUUGUGGUGCCUUCCCUUUUAUUGCCCAGUACUAUUCCAUUAUAUAACUAUAUUAAAGUGGUUCUUCAUUCCUUGAAAUUAUUCUUGACUGGUUUCUUUCUCUCAAAUCUGCUUCACUGGCAAGUUCUAUGCUGUCUUCCAGUCUAACCUGAAUCUGACUCUUUUCUCCAAUACUACCCGACAAGUUCAAGUUCACUACCUCCUUCCUUACUUGCCUCCUUUGAGUUUAUUUCCUACAUAGCAGCCAAAGUGAUGAUCUUAAAAAAUAAAUACAAUCAUAUGUUGCCUUUUAAUGAAUUCUAAAACUUUUAAGAUAAAGAAUCAAAUUCAAACUCUAAGGCCCUUGGUGAUCUGGAUCAUGGCGAUUUCUCCAAUAUUACCUUCUAUGUCUUUCUUUUUUACUCAUUGAAUUUUAUUCAGGCCAGUCUUUGUCAAAUUUGUUUCCCUGCCCCAGAUCUUUACAUCUGCUGGCAUACUAUCCAAUAUUCUUUUUGUCACUGGACCUUUUCUUCUCUUCCUUUGGGCUUGAGCACUCCUUCACACAGAGAAGCCUCGCUGAUUAGCUUUGUUUAAUGUGGGGUCUCAUCUCCAUCUAUUGUUCUGGUCACUGUGCCUGUCUCUCAUAAUACUGAAUAAAAUUUGGAAAUAUACAUAAGGGUACAUGUGUGUGCAUGUGCAUGUGCAUGUGUGUGUCUUGUUUCAUUUCUCAUUUACCCUCCUUUUGUACUUGAAGGUGCACACCAAGUCUGUCUGGUUUAUGCCUCUGGAACCCUAUGCCACGUACACACAGAUUAGGCCCUGCUUGAAGGAAUGAAUAGUGCAUCUCAUUUUUCUUUCCUGCCAUCAUUGCAGAGAGGGAAGCAUUAUUGUUGGGUAUGAAGUGAUUGGCUCAAGCAGCUCCUCUGAGCUGCUGUCAGCUGUGGAACAGGUGGCUGCGAAGGCGGAGGCCAGCCUGGGCCAGCUGUUUCUGUUGGAAGACGGAUCCUUCAUGGUGUUUGGAAAAGGUGAUACUGGAUUCCCAUUUUUUGUUUUGAUUAAGGGACUCCUUUAAUUAGUGCAUUUGUAUCUUCAGGAAGUAGAUUGGAAUUUUUUUUCAAGAGGGAAUUGUUCUAAAACAGACUUUCAGUGGAAACAGGCAGCUGUUUCCCUCAUCUCGGUAAAACUCAACUUUAGCUGACUAUUUUAAAUCCUUACUCAUCGCUGAUCCGAUCUCCAACUCCUGGUAUAAACAUCAUGGACAACUGAUUUCAGGGCAAGCUGUGAUGGAAAUUACUCAGAAAUGGUUUACUGGUACAUGUUGAAAGAGCCCUGGGGCUGACACAAUUUCUAAAUCACAGUGUGAGGACCCAAGAAAAGAAUGCAUACAUCCUUGUCUUUAACGAAAACAGACACAUGCACACACACCACUUUUUCUUGAAAUAGUUUUCUUUUCCUUUUGCUUCUUUUUAAAAUUUUUAUUUGGGUUGGCACAUGAUAAUCAUACAUGUUUAUGGGGUACACUUGCCUAUAUUGUGUUAUGAUCAAAUCAGGGUAAUUAGAAUAUCCCUCAUUUAAAUAUUUAUUUAUUUAUUUAUUGCAAUGAGAACUCUCACAAUGCUUUCUUCCAGCUAUUUUGAAAUAUACAAUAUGAUUCAACCAUGGAAAAGGAUGAAACCCUAUUGUGGGAUGAACCUGCAGGGCAUAUGUUAAGUGCAAUAAGCCAGGCAGAGAAAGAUAAAAGACAAAUACUGCAUCAUCUCAUUCAUAUGUGGGAUUUAAAAACAUUGAUUGAUGUCAUGGAAGUUGAGAUGGGGAACAGAAUAAGGUCUGGUAUUCUAUUCAGAGUAAGAGGCCUGUAGUUAAAAAUAAUAUGUAUUUCUUUUACUUCUUUAUAUUCAACCCUAGACCUCUCUUGCCAAGAUUUUUGCCAUUGUCUUUCAAUAACAUUUAUUUGACAAAUAUUUACUAAGUGUCUAGGCACUUAGGACAUAGCAAUAAGGAAAACAAACAAAACCCCCAGCCAUAUAGCUUUUGCAUAUGAUAUUUCCAUUUCCCAGUUUCAGUCAUAAUAAGAAUAUAUUAUUAAGAGCCAGUUGCAUGGGAUCCUAAUUAGAAUAAGUUAUACUCUGUGUAUGUAUGUCAAAAUGCACUCUACUGUCAUGUGUAUCUAAAAAGAACCAAUAAAAAAAAUUAAAAGAGAAAAGUUAAAUAAAGAUUGAUUGCAAUGUGAAAUGCUGUUAAAGGGGUAUAGAAGAUAUCACCUUUUGACCACAUAAUUACUACUUUGAGCCAUAAUGCCUUGAAGAUUUUCUGACUUUCUGGUAUUUUCUUAAAGAAAGAAAACAUUUCCUAGGGUUGAUCACAUCUUCCCUUAUUUUCACCUAAUACUUCCUAGUUGGUAGCUCAUCAAAAGGCAAAAAUCUGACACAUAGAAGAAAGAGCCAGCCUCAAGGUGGAGGCAUCAGGAAGGAGUACAGGUGCUAAAAGGAAAGAGGCUAGAUAUCAGAGUCACACUUCCUCCUUCUGAAUUUUGCCUGGGUUUUAUAUAUGAACAUAUGACUUCUAAAGUCUUUAAACACUACUACAUGGGUCACACAGAGUGCUGGAUAUUCUGGUAUCAUUUUUCCUGUUUCUCCUGUUUUCCAGUCCAGUGUAACAGCAUUUUCUUUGGAUUUGGGUCUAAGAAUGAUGAAUAUACCCUGCCCUGUAGCAGCGGCUACACUGGAAAUGUCACAGCCAAGUGCCAGCCCUCUGGAUGGCAGGUCGUCAGGGAGUCCUGUGUGCUCUCUCAGCUGGAAGAACUGCAGAAGGUGAAGUUUUUUCCUUUUGUGGACUUGGCCUGGGGUUUGAGUUUCACAGUAAGCAUCUCCCAGUAAGCACAGCUAGGGAGAGGGCAAAAUAUAUCAAGUUGUAUCAUUGGCCACUGUGCAGAAGGUGAGGCUGACAUCAGACUGUGGCAAACCCAGGGAGUGUGGGCAUGAAUGGCAGAGUCUAGCUGACAGCUGAAAAGGUCAGAAAAGGUCAGUCAUGCCACUUUAUUUCAAUAAUAUUUAUUCAGCAAAUAUUUACUAAGUGUCCAAUGUGUCUAGGAGUUUAACACGAUCAGAAUUGAUGGUUUUGUCUGACAGGGUGCUGCAAAGGAGGAAAUCAGUGCUAAAGUCUAUAGUAAAUGGUAGAACAGCAACUGAGCUGGCUUUAGAAGUUCAGCGGUCUAGGAAUUGAAGAUUAAAGUAGAAGUGUGAGUCAGAGGGCAAUAGGUUUAAUACAAGUGAGGAUGUACACAUAUCAGUCAUUGGGGCAGGGAGUGGGUCAGGCAGAGCUGAGCCACAUAGAACGACAAAUCUGCAAUGGACCUUAGGGUCAUUGGAUUUACAACCUCCUUCUUCAGGUUAGGAAACAAAAGACCAAGGAGCCAAUGGUCUCUCUAGAAGCAAUAGCAUUGAUCUACAAAUAGUUAUUUGAUUCCCAAUCCAAUAUUUGAUCUCUUCUCAUGCUCUCUUAGAAAGUUUUAAAUACCAAGACACAGUAAAUAGAAUGAAGAAAGUGAAUAGUCAGGAAAUAGCAGAACUUAAAUCACAGAAAAGAAUAACCUCAAGAUCAGUUCACAAACACCAUUCUGCUAGUAGGUCUCUACAUUGAGUAGUAUGUAUAUCCUGGCCACAGACCUGGCUAUUGCAGUAGAGAACCCCAGAAGAGUAUUCAUCAAAAUGUUGAGGAAUAGUCAUUUCUCCUUUUAUGUACUCAAUUUCUUUAUCUGUAAAGAGAAGCUAGAGAAGGUAACCUCUAGGAUCUCUCCUUUGGCCUUAUUUUUUGAACAUGGGCAAUAUUUAGAACUAGUUCACCCCAGAACGUAAGGAAGGUACAUUCCAGGUGCCCUGGGCAGAUAACAGCACUCUGAGCUAAAAAGAACAAGGAGAAGAGGUGGGGUCUAGGAUCGUGGGGUGACAUGUGUUGAUGGGAAGGUAGCACCCCUCCCUUGCUGCCUUCCACAUUAACCCAGCACAGCAGAAGCAGAUAGGAGCAUGAAAGAAGGAAUAAAACUCCAAAUUCAAGAGCAAAGUCAGGGUUGGCAAAAGUCUAGUAACUUCCACAUUGUCCCUCCAUCUUCCCAUCCAGUGGGGAUAUAGCCUAGCAUUAGUACUAUUAGACCUUGCAUACCACUUUCUUGCUGAGUAGUUUUUGGAAGAUCAUCAAAUAUCACUGAGCAACAGUUUCUGUAUAAUUAGAAUAAUGAUUUAUAUAAAGAUGCUUUUCUUAUCUGAUAAAAUUUAUUUAUUUAUUUAUUUUAGUUGUGGAAAUUUAUUUAUUUAUUUUUUAAAAUUGAUUUUAUUUUUAAGUACAUGACAGCAAAAUGCAUUACAAUUCUUAUUACCCAUAUAGAGCACAGUUUUUCAUCUCUGUAUAUAAAGUAUGUUCACACCAAUUCGUGUCUUCAUACAUGUACUUUGGAUAAUAAUGAUCAUCACAUUCCACCAUACUGACUAACCCCACGUCCCCUCCCUUCCCCUCCCACCCCUCUGCCAUAUCUAGAGGUCGUCUACUCCUCCCAUGCUCCCCUUCCCUACCUCACUGUGAAUCAGCCUCCUAUAUCAGAGAAAACAUUCGCCAUUUGUCUUUUGGGGACUAUCUAAUUUCACUUAGCAUUUUCUUCCCCAACUCCAUAAAAAUACCUGCAAUUUUAAUAAAUAUUUCAAUUUUCAGUCUUCUUAGUUAUAAAAUGACAACAAUAAUGGUACCUCCCUCAAGGAUGUUUAAGGGAUUCAAACAGUGAAUCCCUGGUAGAACAUUUGGCAGUGUCUGUAAUAGACAGAACCCUGAAUAACAGUCAUUUUUUUAAAUGACUGCUGUAUACUUAUUUUAGUAUACACAACCCAUCAAAUGUUAGUACUAGGUUGCCAAGAUAUUGGGUUGAAAUUUGAUGAAACCCAAACAUUUCUGUUUUCUAGAACGUAACCAUUUUUAUUUUUAGAAUUUCAGCCUGAUUGCAAACAGCGCUACAGAGAUGGACAUGUCAUCUCUGGUGCAAAAUCUUUCUGUCAUCAUUCAGCAAAAUCCAUCAACUACAGCUGGAAAUCUGGCUUCUGUGGUGUCAAUUCUGGGAAAUAUUUCAUUCCUGUCAAUGGCAAAGAAUUUCAAGGUGUCUAAUUUGACGUUGGAGGUAUGGUUUUCCUGUGUUUGCAGGGCUUUCUUUAAAAGCUGCAUCUUGUAGGAGAAAUGACAAAGUUCUAAGUAAUGGGGGAAAGACAGAAGAGCCAUAUAACAGUCCUCAUGUGAACUUUGUUCUUUCUCCAUAGGAUACAGGAACUCAUGAGAUCAAUAGUGUGAGUUCAAAGUAAAAGGGAGUUACACCUGAGCACGGGGCAUGGGCAGCACCUGGCUUAGAGAAUUAUUAUAUGACUUGGGCUCCAGCAUUUUGAUACAUGUUAGUAGCUUAUAAUCAUUCUUUCCUGUGGCCAUAAGCUCUGACUUUAGCUGUGUACAUUAUAAGAACUCCUUUACUCAACGCGGGAAUUCAUGGUUUCCUUUAGAUAUUUAAAAAUUAAUUUAAGAUCACACAGAUGGUAUAUGAUCACUAUAAGAAAUGCAAAUAAGCAAAAAGAAAAUUAAAUGAUCUGUAAUCUCAUCAUCUUAGAAUAGCAGCUGCUGCUUAUAUUCCAAUUAUCACCCCAGUGCCUGGAAGAAUAACAAGUGGUGCACAGCAGUGCUCAAUAAAUAUUUGCUCAAUAAGUGUCCUUCCAAACAUUUGAAAUAUUUGCAUUUUAUAUUUUAAGGUCUGUAACAUUUUACAAAAUCAGAUUAUGUAAUUUAUGUAACAAUUAUACUUGACUAUGUAUGAUGAAAAUUAUGUCAAUUUUUUAAUUUUAAAAAAUUAUGUCAACUUUAACAUAUUUUGAAUAAGUUAAAAUCAUAAAGGAAAGAUGCUCAGGUUUGUUUUUUGCAUUUUAUUCGUAAGAGAUCAGCUGAAAUAAUACGAAACAAAAAGGAUAAAUAUAAAAUGAAGAGUGAAAACAGCACACAAACAGAGCAAGAGAAAGCAGAGGAUCCUGGGGGCAGUAGAAUAAGCUCACUAGGCUCUGGGCCAGAAGACACAGAGGGCUGGAUAGGGUAAAACCUGGUAGACACCCACAGCAAAAUGCCGGAGAAUCAGAGUCCAAAGCCAGAAAGAGGUCCUGUGGGAGGAAAUAGCAAUGUUUAAGGAGUUGCUUGGAAAAGGAAUCUCUCAAACUCAGAGUGGCCCUAAAAACCCACAGCAAUUCAACACCGAUUUGAUGCUUGAGUCUAGUUUGUAAGGAUUUGUAUUUUAUAUCUUGUAUAGUAAACAAACAAAAAACAUGAAUUAAAUCUUGGCCACCCAUGAUAUGGAUUUUAAACUUCUGAUGUUAGCAAAACAAACAUCAUAAUAUGGAAAUUUGUCAAAAUAAUGUCUCCACGUUAUUACUCAGGAGAAUGGGAAUGCACCUUUGGGCACUAAAGGAUGUAUAUUCAGCCCAGUGUGUUUCUGAAUGCCUUGGGGUGGUCACCCUGGAACCAAGUUUCUUUCCCCAAAGUCUCUUCUGUGCAGAGUAGCAGAGCUGAAUUUAAUUGAUGAGCUUCAAUGUGUUCCUCAACUGAGUCAAUUUUCCAAGCAUUUUUUCUAAACUGAACACAAAUAACUAUCCACUCAUAGACCUCUCAUCUUUUUUACUGAAAACACUAACUUUCAUCCUUGUGUUUCAGAAUGUCAUCAAUAUAACUGAUCGUAUUCUUAAUUCAUCAUCAAUAACUAAUUGGACAAUUUUAUUGCAAGAAGAAAAGGAUGUCAGCUCACAGCUACUGAGGACAUUGGAAAACAUCAGCAUUCUGGUACCUUCAACUGCUCUGCCUCUGAGUUUUUCUCGAGAUUUCAUUAACUGGAAAGGGAUUCCAGUGACCGAAAGUCAGUAUGAACAGGGUUAUAACUAUCAGAUUGAAAUGUUCCAAAAAAAUACCUCCAUUCCUAUCAGAGGCUAUGUGUUAAUUGGACCAGGCCAAUUCCAGAAGCCCCUUCCAGAAAGUAUCAUCAACAUGGCUUCAUUGACCUUUGGAAACAUUCUGCCCAUUACCCAAAAUGAAAAUGUUCAGGUCAAUGGGCCUGUAAUAUCCACAGUUAUCCCAAACUAUUCCAUAAGUGAAAUUUCCCUGAUAUUCUCUAAGAUAGAGUCAAAUCUGAGAAAGCCUCAUUGUGUGUUUUGGGAUUUCAGUCAUUUGCGAUGGGACAGUGGAGGCUGCCACCUAGUAAAUGAAAGUCUAGAUAUGGUGACGUGUCAAUGUACUCACCUGACCUCCUUCUCCAUGCUGAUGUCACGCUUUGUCCCCUCUGCGAUUGUCCCUGCUGUGAAUUGGAUCACCUAUGUGGGACUGGGUAUCUCCAUGGGAAGUCUCACCUUAUGCCUGAUCAUUGAGGCUCUGUUUUGGAAGCAGAUCAAGAAGAGCCAAACUUCACGCACACGUCAUAUUUGCAUGGUGAACAUAGCCCUGUCCCUCUUGAUUGCAGAUGUUUGGUUUAUUGUUGCGGCCACUGUGGACACCACCAUAAACCCUUCUAGAGUCUGCACAGCUGCAGUGUUCUUUACACAUUUUUUCUACCUCUCUUUGUUCUUCUGGAUGCUCCUGCUUGGCCUCCUGCUGGCUUAUCGAAUCAUCCUUGUGUUCCAUCACAUGUCCAUGACUUUGAUGAUGGCUAUUGGGUUCUGUGUGGGCUAUGGGUGCCCUCUCAUUAUAUCAGUCAUCACCCUUGCAGUCACACAACCUAGCAAUAACUACAAAAGUAAAGAUGUGUGCUGGCUUAAUUGGUCUGAUGAGAGCAAACCUCUCUUGGCUUUUGUUGUCCCUGCAUUGACUAUUGUGGCUAUGAAUUUGGUUGUGGUGCUGUUAGUUCUCUCAAAGCUCUGGAGGCCAGCUAUUGGAGAAAGACUGAAUCAGGAUGACAAGGCCACUUUCAUCCGCAUGGGGAAGAGCCUACUCAUCUUGACCCCUUUGCUGGGGCUCACCUGGGGCUUCGGUAUAGGAACAAUGGUGGAUGGCCAGAAUCCAGCUUGGCAUGUUCUUUUUGCAUUACUGAAUGCAUUCCAGGUG
rnacentral:lncRNA from 1 species